rnacentral:tRNA from 1 species
GCGCGCUUAGCUCAGUGGUAGAGCAUCACUAUGACACAGUGAGGGUCGUGGGUUCGAUUCCCCCAGCGCGCA